rnacentral:rRNA from 1 species
GGUGUAGCAAUACAUGCUGACGAGUGGCGCACGGGUGCGUAACACGUAUGCAACCUACCUAUAACUGGGGAAUAGCCUUCCGAAAGGAAGAUUAACACCGCAUAACAUCAUUCUACGGCAUCGUGGAAUGAUCAAACCUCCGGGGGUUAUAGAUGGGCAUGCGUAACAUUAGCUAGUUGGUGAGGUAACGGCUCACCAAGGCUACGAUGUUUAGGGGGUCUGAGAGGAUGAUCCCCCACACUGGUACUGAGACACGGACCAGACUCCUACGGGAGGCAGCAGUAAGGAAUAUUGGACAAUGGGGGCAACCCUGAUCCAGCCAUGCCGCGUGAAGGAUGACGGCCCUCUGGGUUGUAAACUUCUUUUGUACGGGAAUAAACCCCUCUACGUGUAGAGGGUUGAAUGUACCGUAAGAAUAAGGAUCGGCUAACUUCGUGCCAGCAGCCGCGGUAAUACGAAGGAUCCAAGCGUUAUCCGGAUUUAUUGGGUUUAAAGGGUGCGUAGGCGGGCUAUUAAGUCAGUGGUGAAAGCCUGCAGCUUAACUGCAGAAUUGCCAUUGAUACUGAUGGUCUUGAGUACACUUGAGGUGGGCGGAAUGUGUCAUGUAGCGGUGAAAUGCUUAGAUAUGACACAGAACACCGAUUGCGAAGGCAGCUCACCAAAUUGUAACUGACGCUGAGGCACGAAAGCGUGGGGAUCAAACAGGAUUAGAUACCCUGGUAGUCCACGCCCUAAACGAUGAUUACUCGAUGUGUGCAAUACACCGUACGCGUCUGAGCG